AAUUAAUAUAUUAUCAUAUAAUAAUAUCACAAUAAUAAUAUCAAAGUAUUCAUCAGUAUAAACUAAUCACAAUAUUGUGAUAUAACAUUAAGUUUCAGUAAGCAAAUACGAAAAUAAUUAUUAUUCUAACCCUCUCACGGUAUCCUCUUCUUCUCGUUUCUUUGCCAGUACUGCUUCUUUCCACUUCAUACAAUUAAGGACACAUUGAAAUGCGAACAGUAUACGAGUUCUUCUUGAACUGGAUUAUAUCCUUAAUCCUCAAAAAUACUUAUAUCCUUAAAAAACGGCGAUCGCGAAUACUGACAAACGCGAUAGACUUGUGUUGUAUUCGAGCCUGAUUAUUAAAUCGGCAGUGUUGAAAAUCAAUAUGCAAUGGAAUAUCGUCGAGGACUUCACUACUUUACGUGGGAGCGUUUGUAAAAACCGAAACACAAUAAUGAUUCUUUUUCGAGUCACUAAUAUUGAAGGAAUUAUUCGUACUAAGUACUACGUCGUGCUUUGAUGAUGUGAACAAUUCAUUAGUUCCUAACCAUUCUAUUUUCUAACGCCAUCUGACUAAAAGUUGUAUAUUCUUUUAACGUUUUUGAAACAUUCUUAGCAUAUUCUUAUUAAAUACUUUUAUAAUGUACUACAUACAUUUAUAGAAUGUUCCUUGAAAACAAAAAUAUUCUAGACAUAUUCAUACAUAAUUCUGAAGGAAUAUUCUCAUAUAAGCAUAUUUGACAGUAAAUAGAAUAUUCAUAGAAUUUAAUGUGCUAUCUGGGAACUUUGUUAAUUUUGCGAAUCGGACUAAAUCCUUUUGCAGACAUAUUUUUCAUACCAAAUACUUGCAAAAUAUGCAAAAAAAACAAAAAAUCGAUUUUUCCGAUCCGCUAGACUAGAAGACCCCCUUAAACGCGUUUUUCUCGAAACAACAUUUUUUCAUCUGGCGACCACGAUAUCUCGAAAACAGAUAGUUCGAUUGACUUCAAAGCAGGAAAUAUAAAACACAAGUCUCUUUCUCGCAUGACCUAGAAUUAUUUUAUUACAGCUUGUACUUUUUUUGUUAUUGUAAAAAAUAUGGCUAAUUUUGGUCGAAAAAUCGAUAUUUAUUUUUCGGAACGAUAUUUUUUUAACUUCUAAUUUUUCUUUUUGCUUUAUUCUAGUUCAUGCGAUAGCCACAUGUGUGAAAAUUACGUAUCACUUUGGUUUUUUUGUUUCAGAUCACCUGGAGACGAGUUAGGAUGGUCGCUAUCAAGAGAAAAAUUUUCUGAGGCGGCUCGCGACAAGUAAUUUUACGGGGCUUCCGACUGACAAUGAGUCAACAACGGGUCUAGCUAAUUCCCUUCAGUAAUCUUGAUGGGGAAAGAGGGAAGUAUCCGCUGUAUGGCUGCCCCUAUAUUCCUGUAUUUCAAAACAGAAAACAAGAAAACAAGAUUGUACCUAGGAUAUAAAUUAUACAAAUUUUCAAUAAAACAUUCGAUCUUUUAUC